rnacentral:rRNA from 1 species
GGAGUUAGCCGGUGCUUCUUCUGUGAGUGAUGUCCUUCCUGCCGGCUAUUAACCCGCAGGCCUUCUUCCUCACUGAAAGUGCUUUACAACCCGAAGGCCUUCUUCACACACGCGGCAUGGCUGGAUCAGGGUUGCCCCCAUUGUCCAAUAUUCCCCACUGCUGCCUCCCGUAGGAGUCUGGGCCGUGUCUCAGUCCCAGUGUGGCUGAUCAUCCUCUCAGACCAGCUACGGAUCGUCGCCUUGGUGAGCCGUUACCUCACCAACCAGCUAAUCCGACAUAGGCUCAUCCGAUAGCGCGAGGCCCGAAGGUCCCCCGCUUUCCCCCGUAGGGCGUAUGCGGUAUUAGCCUGGGUUUCCCCAGGUUAUCCCCCACUACCGGGCAGAUUCCUAUGCAUUACUCACCCGUCCGCCGCUCGCCACCAGGGAGCAAGCUCCCCGUGCUGCCGCUCGACUUGCAUGUGUAGCUCGCCGCCACGCGUCAUCUGAGCGAGAUACAACUACUCGA